GAUGAAGAACGUAGCGAAAUGCGAUACGUAAUGUGAAUUGCAAAUUCAGUGAAUCAUCGAGUCUUUGAACGCACAUUGCGCCUCCUGGUAUUCCGGGGGGCAUGCCUGUCCGAGCGUCAUUGCUGCCCUCAAGCACGGCUUGUGUGUUGGGCCCCGUCCUCCGAUCCCGGGGGACGGGCCCGAAAGGCAGCGGCGGCACCGCGUCCGGUCCUCGAGCGUAUGGGGCUUUGUCACCCGCUCUGUAGGCCCGGCCGGCGCUUGCCGAUCAACCCAAAUUUUUAUCCAGGUUGACCUCGGAUCAGGUAGGGAUACCCGCUGAACUUAAGCAUAUCAAUAAGCGGAGGA
rnacentral:misc_RNA from 1 species